UUGGACGUAAGGCCAGCACAGUUUAGAGAA
rnacentral:piRNA from 1 species